ACAAAGGGAUAGAUCUGAAAAUAGAGAGAAGGGGGAGGGGGCAAAAAUAGAGACAAAAAAGAAAGAGAGAUAGACGGAACAGACCCCUCUUCGACAGAGAACCCUAGCGCCGCCCCUAUCUCACUCUCAUUCUUUCACUCCCACACCCUCCUCUCAUCACACACGCGAAAAGGCACUCAAUAUAGGCUAGAAACAAAACUUUCAAAAGCUCAAAAUUCUUAAAGUGCUAUUUGAAGUUCCGAAAAAAAGGAAAUUAGCUAAAAAUACAUAGGAUUGAGAUCUGAAAUAAAAAAAAAAACAGUAAUGAAAGGGAAUUUCAAAAUAAUUCUAUCUCCUACUGUUCACUCUGCAUCUCCUGGGCUAUCAACGCCUCGAGAGUUGUUGUGGGUUUUUUGAGCUUUUCCGAUCUUAGUCGUCGGUUCGAGUUCUUGUCGCAGUUCGACUUGCCGUUUCUGAAAUUUUAAAGCUCCGGUGGAACUUCUAAUGUUAUUGAAGAGAAUUGUUCAAUAAAAGGUUCGAUACGCUCGGAGGCCGAUUCGCGAGGCAGGGGCAUAUUGGAAUAAAGAAUUACACGAUUUGAGGUACUUCCGGAAAUGACGGUUGCCAGAUUUGAGGAUUUAUCUGUUGGAGACUAUCAAGGUAGUUGCUUGGCGUCCGCAGGCCUUGACUCUCUUUCCUUUCAGUUAUUGUACUGUUCUAUAUUUUCAGACAGUAU